UGGGGAAUAUUGCACAAUGGGGGAAACCCUGAUGCAGCGACGCCGCGUGAACGAAGAAGGUAUUCGUAUCGUAAAGUUCUGUCCUAUGGGAAGAUAAUGACAGUACCAUAGAAGAAAGCUCCGGCUAAAUACGUGCCAGCAGCCGCGGUAAUACGUAUGGAGCGAGCGUUGUCCGGAAUUAUUGGGCGUAAAGGGUACGCAGGCGGUUUAAUAAGUCGAAUGUUAAAGAUCGGGGCUCAACCCCGCAAAGCAUUGGAAACUGAUAAACUUGAGUAGUGGAGAGGAAAGUGGAAUUCCGAGUGUAGUGGUGAAAUACGUAGAUAUUAGGAGGAAUACCAGUAGCGAGGGCGACUUUCUGGACACAAACUGACGCUGAGGUACGAAAGCGUGGGGAGCAAACAGG
rnacentral:rRNA from 1 species